rnacentral:pre_miRNA from 1 species
AGUUGUAAUUUUGAUGUGGUUGUGGGAGGCGGCGAGAACGGCCGUUUACCUAUGCCACCAUCUUGGUUCUCUCGAU